rnacentral:rRNA from 1 species
UACGGAGGGUGCAAGCGUUGUCCGGAAUCACUGGGCGUAAAGGGCGCGUAGGCGGCUCAUGAAGGCUGUGGUGAAAGUCCGGGGCUCAACCUCGGAUCGGCCGUGGCGACUCGUGGGCUGGAGCACUGUAGAGGCGGGUGGAAUUCCGGGUGUAGCGGUGAAAUGCGCAGAUAUCGGGAAGAACACCCGUGGCGAAGGCGGCACUCUGGGACGGUACUGACGCUGAGACGCGAAAGCGUGGGGAGCGAACAGG